rnacentral:piRNA from 1 species
UAAUCUCUGGUUCCACUCAAUAGAAGGCCACU